GAAGCAAAACAACAGUCCCACAUUAAAGGAAGAGAAGCACCUGCUUCCUUUCUCAGAAGCUUCACUUAAGUAAAAGUGAGACUGCUGUCCAGCCAGAUUCACAGCUUUUUAUGAGAGUGAAGAAUUUCAGUAACAUUAUGUGUAUGUCCUGGUGUGGUUAGCCUAGCUUAGCAUAAAGACUGGAAGCGGGGGGAAACUGUUAGCCUGGCUCUGUCCAAAGUUCAGAAGACAGCUUUAAAGUUCACUGACAGACACUUUAGAUCUAGUUUAGUUCAUCUGGACGCAACCAGAAAUGUGAAAAGGAUCAUUUAAAUAAACCAAAGUAUUUGUGUUUUUCUAGACGGCAGCUAAAGAAGACGAGCCAGAGAUUUGACUGUGGGACUCGCAUGACGAUAGAGCUCUGGAUCUGUCCACCUAAACGCAAAGUGUCCACCUGUGUGUGUUGCAGGGCGCGGCGGAGGCCGAGCUGGAGAAAGACUUGGAGAGGACCUUUAAGAUUUUCUUUUUCAGCAGCGGUGAAGCGGCGAAGCGUCCUGCCGUCAGCACCGCAGGAGUCUGCGCUCGAGGUGGUCUGUUUGUGGGUCUGCCGGAGCAGAUUCCCCGGAGCUCCGUGCUGACGGAGGCCGACCGAGUCG